rnacentral:rRNA from 1 species
UACGGAGGGGGCUAGCGUUGUUCGGAAUUAUUGGGCGUAAAGAGCUCGUAGGCGGUGUGUCGCGUCGGCCGUGAAAACCUGCAGCUUAACUGUGGGCUUGCGGUCGAUACGGGCAUCACUGGAGUUCGGCAGGGGAGACUGGAAUUCCUGGUGUAGCGGUGAAAUGCGCAGAUAUCAGGAGGAACACCGGUGGCGAAGGCGGGUCUCUGGGCCGAUACUGACGCUGAGGAGCGAAAGCGUGGGGAGCAAACAGG